rnacentral:rRNA from 1 species
CGCGGCCUAUCAGCUUGUUGGUGAGGUAACGGCUCACCAAGGCAUCGACGGGUAGCUGGUCUGAGAGGACGAUCAGCCACACUGGGACUGAGACACGGCCCAGACUCCUACGGGAGGCAGCAGUAGGGAAUCUUGCGCAAUGGGCGAAAGCCUGACGCAGCAACGCCGCGUGGGGGAUGAAUGCCUUCGGGUUGUAAACCCCUUUCAGCAGGGACGAAAAUGACGGUACCUGCAGAAGAAGCUCCGGCCAACUACGUGCCAGCAGCCGCGGUAAUACGUAGGGAGCGAGCGUUGUCCGGAAUUAUUGGGCGUAAAGAGCUCGUAGGCGGUUCAGUGAGUCGGGUGUGAAAACUCAAGGCUCAACCUUGAGACGCCACUCGAUACUGCUGUGACUUGAGUCCGGUAGAGGAGUGUGGAAUUCCUGGUGUAGCGGUGAAAUGCGCAGAUAUCAGGAGGAACACCAGCGGCGAAGGCGGCACUCUGGGCCGGUACUGACGCUGAGGAGCGAAAGCAUGGGGAGCAAACAGGAUUAGAUACCCUGGUAGUCCAUGCCGUAAACGUUGGGCACUAGGUAUGGGAUCAUAUCAACGGAUUCCGUGCCGUAGCUAACGCAUUAAGUUCCCCGCCUGGGGAGUACGG